UUUGCAAACAUAAUUAAAACACAGACAUGUUCACUAAUACUAUCUAAAAACAUACAAGUGUCGUGAGUCUUUAUUCACUUACUGUAUGCUUGUUCUGUACUAUUGCCACUUCCUAUGGAGUAACGUCCAGUAGUAACACUGGCACAUGGCACCUUCUCUGAGUCAGACUUUUAUAAUCAAAGUUGCCAAUACAAUGCCUGAGGUUGAUAAGUAAGAUACAGGGUUCUUCUUCUGAGUUAUGUCAGUGGCUGUAUAACUCUAAAUACGAAAGAGAUGUUUUACAAAAAAACAAAGGCAAGUGUUUUACAUUAAAUCUUAUAAAACUGUACAUAAUAAAAGUCUACAACAUGAAAACGGCCAUUAAACUGUUGUGAUAGUUACGAAAUGUAGUAAAUAUAACAAUGCUAAUGUUUCAUGUAUUUAUCAUUAAUCACUGUAUUCAUACAGUGCUGUUUGUAUAUAUAAAUAUUCAAUGGCACUGUAAACAGGUGUUGGAAAACACACAUUUACUCUUAACCCAUUAGAAGUUAUUGUAGUACUUUUUAAUCCAAAAGGUCAAAAUGCAUUAAUGCAUCAUUGAUUUAGAAAAAUAGCCUUGUACUAUGAUGCACAUUUUGACAUUUUCUAGGGUAGCAAUCAGGAUGAAGCAUAACAAAGAAUGCCAGAUUUCAGACUGGUUUACAUUUACACCUACCAUGACACAAAAUUUUAAACAUUAAAUGUCAUUAAAUAAUACACAGUUUAUAAAACAGUUGAUUUCAGAGAUGCACAAUACACAAAAAUCUAGUUAGUGUCUAAUGGGAGUUCCCAAUAAUUUAUAUCUCUGGGACCUUUAUGAGAAAUUUAAGUCUGUUUCUCUUUACCAUCACGUAGGCAAAGUGAGUUUGAAUUGAAUUACCUUUUUCUUAGUCUGUACAGAGCUGCAUUCAACUGGAUAAAAUAUGCUUAUUCAUGUUUUCCACUGCUGGACAUUCAUCCAAUAAGUCUUGAGCAUAUGCUUAAGCAUCUGGUAAUGGCAUUUUGUGGGGCAAGGAAACUCACUAUCUCUAUCCCUCAGUAAACAAAGUGGUUCUAAUUUUAUCCAUAGUUAAGGCAACUAUACUGAUAUAUUAGACACACCAUAUGCUUUUAUGUUGCUGCCUACAAUCUAAACGGUAAGAGCGAAAGGAAGUUUCAAACAUGCUUUGAUCUUCUUGACCACUCAGGAGUUUCAUC
rnacentral:lncRNA from 1 species